rnacentral:rRNA from 1 species
GUAGGUGGCAAGCGUUGUCCGGAAUUAUUGGGCGUAAAGCGCGCGCAGGCGGUCCUUUAAGUCUGAUGUGAAAGCCCACGGCUCAACCGUGGAGGGUCAUUGGAAACUGGGGGACUUGAGUGCAGAAGAGGAGAGUGGAAUUCCACGUGUAGCGGUGAAAUGCGUAGAGAUGUGGAGGAACACCAGUGGCGAAGGCGACUCUCUGGUCUGUAACUGACGCUGAGGCGCGAAAGCGCGGGGGGAGCGAACAGGAUUAGAUACCCUGGUAGUCCACGCCGUAAACGAUGAGUGCUAAGUGUUAGAGGGUUUCCCGCCCUUUAGUGCUGCAGCUAACGCAUUAAGCACUCCGCCUGGGAGUACGGUCGCAAGACUG